rnacentral:rRNA from 1 species
CGGCGGCCAGUCAGCUGUUGGUGGGGUGAUGGCCGUACCAAGGCGGUGACGGGGUAGCCGGGCCUGAGAGGGUGGACGGGUCACACUGGGGACUGAGACACGGCCCAGACUCCUACGGGAGGCAGCAGUGGGGGAAUAUUGCACAAUGGGGCGCAAGCCUGAUGCAGCGACGCCGCGUGAGGGAUCGGAGGCCUUCGGGUUGUAAACCUCUUUCGCCAGUGAAGCAGGCCUGCUCCUUGUGGGUGGGUUGACGGUAGCUGGAUAAGAAGCGCCGGCUAACUACCGUGCCAGUCAGCCGCGGUAAUACGUAGGGCGCGAGCGUUGUCCGGAAUUAUUGGGCGUAAAGAGCUCGUAGGCGGCUAGGUCGCGUCUGUCGUGAAAUCCUCUGGCUUUAAACUGGGGGCUUGCGGUGGGUACGGGCCGGCUUGAGUGCGGUAGGGGAGACUGGAACUCCUGGUGUAGCGGUGGAAUGCGCAGAUAUCAGGAAGAACACCGGUGGCGAAGGCGGGUCUCUGGGCCGUUACUGACGCGUGAG